rnacentral:rRNA from 1 species
CUCUUUGUUUUAAUAUAUAGAGAGUCAGACCUGCCCGGUGAAUAAUUUUUUAACGGCCGCGGUACUUUGACCGUGCAAAGGUAGCAUAAUCAUUUGCCCUAUAAUUGAGGGCUAGUAUGAAUGGUUCGGACGUAAGCAAAACUGUCUCUGUGAUGAUUUUUUAGAAUUUGGUUUUUAGGUGAAGAAACCUAAAUAUUAUUAAAAGACAAGAAGACCCUAUUGAGCUUUAAAAAAAUAAAUGGAAUAAUAGCUAUUUAAAUUAAAAAGUCUAUCCAUUUAAUAUUUUGGUUGGGGCGACUAAGGAACAAAUAAAGCUUCUUAACUCAUUAAAGUUUUACAGAUUUUGAUCCAAUUAUUUUGAUUAAAGGAAUUAGUUACCAUAGGGAUAACAGCAUAAUUCUUUUUGAGAGUUCUUAUCGAAAAGAGAGUUUGUGACCUCGAUGUUGGACUAGAGUAUCCUAAAGAUGCAGCAGUCUUUAAGGGUUGGUCUGUUCGACCAUUAAAAUU